AAUCGAACUCGGAGAUAGCUGGUUCUCCCCGAAAUAGCUUUAGGGCUAGCCUCGAUUUAGAUUACCGGGGGUAGAGCACUGAAUGGGCUAGGGGGCCACAAAGCUUACCGAACCCUAUCAAACUUCGAAUACCGGAUAAUUGAUGAUCGGGAGUCAGACAGUGUGAGAUAAGUUUCAUUGUCGAAAGGGAAACAGCCCAGAUCUACGACUAAGGUCCCAAAGUUCAAGUUAAGUGGAAAAGGAUGUGCAAUUGCGUAGACAACCAGGAUGUUGGCUUAGUAGCAGCCAUUCAUUCAAAGAGUGCGUAAUAGCUCACUGGUCGAGUGAUUGUGCGCCGAAAAUGUAACGGGGCUAAACUUGACACCGAAGUCUAGGCAGAAGGAAACUUCUGGGUAGGGGAGCAACGUGUACGGGCAGAAGCAGAAGCGGAAGCGACUGUGGACUGUACAGGAGAGAGAAUGCCGGCAUGAGUAGCGAGAGCAAAGUGAGAAUCUUUGCCGUCGAAAGCCUAAGGUUUCCUGAGGAAGGCUCGUCCUCUCAGGGUAAGUCGGGACCUAAGCCGAGGACAAUAGUCGUAGGCGAUGGACAAUCGGUUAAUAUUCCGAUACCGUCGAGCAACCGGAUGCAGUGACACAGAAGGAUAGGCAGAGCGUGGCGAUGGUAGACCACGUCCAAGCAGUGAGGCUGUUGUGUAGUGAAGUACGCACAACGUAAGGCUGGGCUGUGAUGGGGAACGAUUACGAUCGGUAAGCUGCUGAAUUCACGCUGGCGAGAAAAGCUGCUACGAAGCGAAGGCGCCCGUACCGCAAACCGACACAGGUAGGCGAGGAGAGAAUCCUAAGACGAGCGGGAGAACCCUUGUUAAGGAACUCGGCAAAAUGACUCCGUAACUUAGGGAGAAGGAGUGCCCAGGAAUGGGCCGCAGAGAAUAGACCCAAGCGACUGUUUACCAAAAACACAGGUCUGUGCGAAGUAGAGAUACGACGUAUACGGGCUGACACCUGCCCAGUGCCGGAAGGUUAAGGGGAAAUGUUAGGGCAACCGAAGCAUGGAACUUAAGCCCCGGUGAACGGCGGCCGUAACUAUAACGGUCCUAAGGUAGCGAAAUUCCUUGUCGGGUAAGUUCCGACCCGCACGAAUGGUGUAACGAUUUGGGUACUGUCUCAACAAGGGACCCGGCGAAAUUGUAGUAUGUGUGAAGAUGCACAUUACCCGCGAUAGGACGGAAAGACCCCGUAGAGCUUUACUGUAGUUUAACAUUGGAUUCCGGUAACAUAUGCACAGGAUAGGUGGGAGGCGGAGAAGCAGUGAUUUCGGUUGCUGCAGAGCCGACGUUGGGAUACCACUCUUGUGUUACUGGGGUUCUAACCUGUGGCCGUGAUCCGGCACAGGAACAGUGUUAGAUGGGCAGUUUGACUGGGGCGGUCGCCUCCAAAAGAGUAACGGAGGCGUCCAAAGGUUCCCUCAGAAUGGUUGGAAACCAUUCGAAGAGUACAAAGGCAGAAGGGAGCCUGACUGCGAGACCGACAGGUCGAGCAGGGACGAAAGUCGGGCUUAGUGAUCCGGCGGUAUAGAGUGGAAUUGCCGUCGCUCAACGGAUAAAAGCUACCUCGGGGAUAACAGGCUUAUCUCCCCCAAGAGUCCACAUCGACGGGGAGGUUUGGCACCUCGAUGUCGGCUCGUCGCAUCCUGGGGCUGGAUUAGGUCCCAAGGGUUUGGCUGUUCGCCAAUUAAAGCGGCACGCGAGCUGGGUUCAGAACGUCGUGAGACAGUUCGGUCGCUAUCCAUCGUGGGCGCAGGAGAUUUGAGAAGAGCUGUCCUCAGUACGAGAGGACCGGGAUGGACGCACCAAGGGUGUAUCAGUUGUCACGCCAGUGGCACAGCUGGGUAGCCAAGUGCGGAUCGGAUAAACGCUGAAGGCAUCUAAGCGUGAAGCCGACUUCAAGAUAAGAUCUCCCAUCCGCAAGGAGUAAGGCCCCAUGUAGACCACAUGGUUGA
rnacentral:rRNA from 1 species